AAUGAACGCUGGCGGCAGGCCUAAAACAUGCAAGUCGAACGCCCUAGCAAUAGGGAGUGGCGCACGGGUGAGUAACAUGUGGGAAUAUGCCUUUUGGUACGGAACAACGUUUGGAAACGAACGCUAAUACCGUAUGGUCCCUACGGGGUAAAGAUUUAUCGCCAAAAGAUUAGCCCGCACUAGAUUAGCCAGUUGGUAAGGUAAUGGCUUACCAAGGCGACGAUCUAUAGCUGUUCUGAGAGGAAGAUCAGCCACACUGGGACUGAGACACGGCCCAGACUCCUACGGGAGGCGGCAGUUAGGAAUAUUGGACAAUGGGCGCAAGCCUGAUCCAGCCAUGCCGCGUGAGUGAUGAAGGCCUUCGGGUUGUAAAGCUCUUUAGCCGACGAAUAUAAUGACUGUAGUCGGAGAAUAGGCCCCGGCUAACUUCGUGCCAGCCGCCGCGGUAAAAC
rnacentral:rRNA from 1 species